rnacentral:lncRNA from 1 species
CAUUUCAUCAUGCUUGAACUAGGAUACAGAUGGUUUAAAGGUCAUGGAUGAUUAAAUCUGUAGUAUCUGGCCUUGUUAAGGUGGCUGCAGGUAUACUGUCUAGUAGCCAUAGUCAGGAUACUUUCAUCGGAGUCCAUCAAAGUCAUUAAAAGAGAGUGGAGAAAGAAAAAUAAUAUAGAUAGAGAAGUAUUCUAGAGAAAAAGUAGAG